rnacentral:rRNA from 1 species
AUUUGAGGUCCAAGGUUAAUGCAACAUAUCCCUUUAGAACUCCACAGCUAAGCACACUUGGGCUAGAGUAGUAUUGGGAUGGGUGACCUCCCGGGAAGUCCUAGUGUUUUAUAUG